AUAUACAAGUAUGUAUGUAAAUAUAUAUAUAAAUAUAUAUGAAUUUUUUUUUUUUAGAAAUAUGAUAAGACAUUAGAUAUGCUAAUUAUGCUUCUCAUAUUUUGGAGUUGUUUAGAAAUACUGCUUCAUUUGUUAAUGAAGACAUUUUAUACUUUCCAUUUCAUAUUUUUUGAUAUUAUAUCACUAAUACUGCUUUUUUUUGAUUUAUUUGUUUUUGAACGUCACAUGUUCAACUUUUUUUGCUAUUUAACAAAAAGGUAAGUAUUAUAAAUAUACAUACAUGUAUAUAUGUUUGUGCACAUAUAUAUAUAUAUAUAUAUAUAACUUCAUGGAAGUUUUAUCUUUGUUAUUUUUUUGUUUUUCAUUAUUACAUGUGUCAUGUAUUAAAAAUGCUUAGCUAAUUAUCACUUGCAUAGUCGCGCACUUAUAUUUAUGUACACAAUUACACAUUUACUUAUUCUUUCAAUUUUUUUACUGCUCUCUUUUUUCUGUAUUAAUUGUCUUAGUAUAUAUAACAUAAAAGAAAUCAGCAAUGAAACUAUAUUUUAUUUAGUACAACUAUUUAAAGCUUUAAAAGUUACUAAAAUCUAUAGUAUUAUUAUAAAACUUGUUCAAAGUCGCACUAAGCAGAAUUACAAGCACCGGAACGAAUGGAAUUUUGAAAAAAUGGAAAGCAUGAAACGUAUGAAAACUUUAAAGGAAAGUCUAAAGUUUACAAAUAAAGUCCACUUGACUAUAAUAAGAAGAUACUUUAUGUCUAUAUUUUUUCUAUUACUAUCAUAUAUUUUCAUAGAAAUGAUAUCGACUUCAAAGAAUAAUCAUAACUCGAUGGACUACUUUGUUUACAACUUAGAUUUAAUUUCUUUUGACGAUUAUUAUGAAACAGAGUUUUUGAAAGCGCUCUAUUAUUAUAGUGUACGAUAUAUAAUGAAAAAUAUAAAAAAAUAAAAAAGAGAGAGAGAGAAAGAAAGAUUUAAAAUAGUUACAAGGAGCAUGUAUACUAGUGUGCCGAUAUGAUUUUUUUAAUACAUUUAUAAAUAUAUAUAUAUUUAUAUAUGUGCGUCUACGCAUGGAGAAUAUACAACACCACUAUGUUUUGUUUUAUUUUGUUUUGUUUUAACUCGUUUCGUUUUUAUAUUGUUUUUAGACAAUUCAGAAAAACAAUGAUACGGGUGAAUAUUUAAUAAGUUUUAAAUCUAAAAAGAAGUUAAAAAAUUUUAUAAACAGAAAGGAAAUUAAUUUAAAAGGAAAUGAACAUGUUCUAUGGGAUUUUACAAAUUUGUAUUAUGUAAUAAAAAAAAAAAAUAAAAAAUAAAUAAAAAAAUA
rnacentral:lncRNA from 1 species